AUACUUCUCGGCCCUUUUGGCUAAGAGCAAGUGUAGUGUCUGCUCUUAUCAGUUUAAUAUCGGAUACGUCCUCUAUCCGAGGACAAUUUAUUAAAUGGAUUUUUGGAGCUGGGACUUGGGAUGGAAGCUUACUCCGCCCACUCCACCCACUGACCUUGUAUUGCAGUAACUCCAGGAUCAGUGCAGGGAAG